rnacentral:piRNA from 1 species
UAAUGAUUACAGAGAAAGAGCACCCU